UACGAAGGGGGGCUAGCGUUGCUCGGAAUGACUGGGCGUAAAGGGCGCGUAGGCGGAUGGCUUUGUCGGGCGUGAAAUUCCAGGGCUUAACCUUGGGGCUGCGUUCGAGACGGGUUGUCUUGAGUGGGGAAGAGGGUCGUGGAAUUCCCAGUGUAGAGGUGAAAUUCGUAGAUAUUGGGAAGAACACCGGUGGCGAAGGCGGCGGACCUGGUCCGUUUACUGACGCUGAGGCGCGAAAGCGUGGGGAGCAAACAGG
rnacentral:rRNA from 1 species